rnacentral:tRNA from 1 species
GCUUAGGUAUUUUAAUAUGUAAAAUAUUGAUUUGUGGAAUCAAUGAUAUGAAGAUUUCAUCUUAGGUC